ACGCAGUCUCGUACACGCCCAACGAGCGCACACACCCGCACUCCAUGCACGCGCGAUGGGCGCACACACUCGCAUCCCUACACGUGCACACACCCGCGCUCCAAUUACCGCGCUAGCGCGCAAAAGAGCCGCAACUUCCGAGUGGGACUCGGCAUGCGGGGGCAGUGCCCGGUACUUCACCAUCAGUCACCUUCGCGUCCGCCUCCUCCCCUGCUGGUUGCACCUCCAGCCGCAGAGAUUUCCGGCUGGGGCACCAGAACUGUCCAGGCCGAAAGAGCUGCUCCUCCGUCACAAAGCGCAGUUGCACACUGUACUGCAGGCGCGCGGGGACCCGGGCCGGAGCCGGGGUCGCAGCCAUGGUCCAAGCGCCUCUGCUCCUGAGCCCUAGCAGUGCCUCCCCCGCGCUGCUCUGGGCACCGAGAAACUGCUGGGGCAAGGGGGAGGGAUUUGGAAGCGCGCACCACCUUCCCCAGCUCCCGUUGCAAGUUCAGUCUUCGACCUCCGAGACGCCCGGUGACUUCUGCUGGCACCUGCUGCCCUCGGCAUCACCUCCCUCAUCCCCCUGGAGGGCACGCUGGAAAGCUGCAACUCCCCACCCUCCGCACAGGAGCGCCCCGUAGACGCGCAGAUGGGCCCAGCCACCCAGCGGGGCGGCAGCCCUGAGCACACAAGUUUGGAGAGCGCGCGAGGCACCUGAAAGUGGUUGGGGUUUGGAAGCAAAAGGGUGACACCUGCUGUUCGCUGGGACCGCUCUGCGGGUGUGGGCGUCGGUUUGGAAACGUCCUUUGCCUGAGCUCUGCUUGAACCUGGGUGCCAGAGACUACCUGGGACAGCUCUACUGACAUCAUCAGCACGUGAUUCUAGCCUCAUUAACUCUAACUUGGGAAAAGUGCUUCUGGAGGAAAGGGAAGAGAUUCUAAGGCUGUGUGCCCCAUUCUUAUUACUCUAUCUCAGUGGGUCUCAAUCCCGGCUACACAUUGGAAUCACUUGGAAAGCUUUAAAAAUAAAACCAAACCUGUGCUUGGGCUCCACCAUAGGUGUUCACCACAGCUGUCAGUAUAAAUCAAUGCAUCUUGGUUCCAUUCUUCAUCAUUUGCUGGUAGCUAAAUUAUGGUAAAUUCAGCUAAGGACAUUUUAAAAUCCUGUUUAAUUUGUCCACAUGCUAAAUAUCCCAGCACACAAGAGAAAAAGCAGCAUGUACUUGGAUAAGACAAACCUAGGGCUUCCUUCGAGUUAAGGAACAGUCUUGGAAGUCUUGUUAUAGUUAAUGGUUUUUUGAGUGGAUGAGCAAAUGAAUGAAUAUACAAAUGGUUAUGCACACAAUUAAGCAAACUACUUGAUCACAUUCCUCCUUUUGGUUUUGCUUCCUCUACCUGUCAGUUGUCCUGAACACCUGCGGAGGUAUUUUGUGCAGGAUGGUUUACCACAUUGGCCUUGGGAGUUGAGGAAGCACCAGCUUAGGUUCUGCCACGUGCUCUUUCCUGACAGCGAGUGCUGCUGGCUGCUGACGCCUAGAAUCUCAGCACGGGAGCUGCCUUUGUCACAGACCUUGGUUCCCCAUUCAAUCGAGCACCUGUGCAGUUGCCCUGUGGUCUAGCAUCCCAGGCUCAGCAGUGACAGCUCCUGAUGGGCUUUCACCUGACUUUCUAAAUCAGUGCUGUUCUAAAUCUGUGCUAAAUCUGGUGACCAGCCAGAGCCUGGUCACCCCUGCAUGGAGUAGGAGUGAAGCUUAUGAAAAGGUGAGGUGCCAAACACACAGAGGAGAACACGGAGGAGGCCAUAUUGUAAUAAAGAGGUAAGAAAAGAUUCUGAUAACAUGGGAACAUGUUUGAAAGUUCUUCUGACCAAAGAUACUAAUCUUACUCCAAAAGCUUGUAUGUGAAGAAACAUGGCUUAUGAGUCAGAUGUCAGAGAAUCAUAGAUCCUUCAGAAACAGUGGGCAUCUUAAAGGUCACAUGGUUCAAAGCCCUUGCCAUAGAGGAAGAAGACAGGAGGACUACUAGCUCUUGUCUAUUUUCAUACAGUAUUGCAGGGGUGGAAAGUCCUCAUUCAUCAUAAGGGUCACAGACAACACUCCUAUAAGAAAAGACAGGUUAACAUGAGAAAAUCAUAACAAAUUUAUUUAAUCAAAAUUUCACUUGACAUGGGAAACUUCAGAAAUGAAGACCCAAAGACCCAGGGAAUACUGUCUAUUUUUAUGCUUAGGUUCAAUGAAGAAUGACCAGCCACGUAGAAAUAAAGCAAGCAGUCAGAAGUCACCCCAUAAAACACCUUCCACCCUCUGAGCAUGACCAGCAAAGCGGUUUCUUCUUGCGGACACUGCAUCAGCCCAGCUCAAAGUGCAUUCCAUUCUGAUGAACAUCCACAAACAGUUAUGAAGAAGACCCAAAUGUCAUGAUUUUGUUCCUCUCAGAUAAUAAAAAUAUCAUGAUUCUGAAGGAGUGUUGGUGGGUGUUCAAGUCAAUUCAGUUACAAGCAUACGCCUUACCCCAGUUCUCGUGGCUUCAUCCUGAAUUAGAGUUGUCCCCUGUCAUCUGGAAUAUAUUUCCCAUUGAGACACAUUACUCUCACUCCUUCUACAGCUGUCCCAGGGUCAGUGCUUGAUUUCUCAGAGAUUUUGUUAUGUGAAUCAGUCCAAAGUGUGUUACAGCAAGACUAAGUCAUCAUGAGUCACAUGAUCCACACAUUUCCUAUUUGUAUCUUUGCUUGGUUGAGUGUGUUGUGGGGGGUUAGAAUAUAUUUUGGUCUGCUUUAACCUUUGUGUUCCAAUUCACUCUUAGGUUGAAAGAAAAAUAUAAACUCAAAUUUAAAGAAUAGCCUUCUUGUAAAAGACAAGCUUGGCUAUGACUAAGCAGUUGUUACUUGAUGAGCGAGAGAAGCCCCUUCUUGGGUAAUUGGGGCUGCAGGAAUGGAGUGACCGUUUCCCCAUCAGCAUCCCCUCUGGGUCCUUCAGGUCUGAGCUAGAAGAGCAAGGGCCAGCGUCCCCCAGCACAUAGUUGUCUUGAUGCCACAGACAAAAUAAUUUAAUUCAUGUAUGCGUCCUCAUAAAUCUGACAAAUGUUUAGAAAAUGGAAGCUUUG
rnacentral:lncRNA from 1 species